AGCAACAAAUGCCCUGCUUCCAGGAAAAGCCUCUAAGCAUCAGGUAACAUCAAAUCGUACCCCAAACCGACACAGGUGGUCAGGUAGAGAAUACCAAGGCGCUUGAGAGAACUCGGGUGAAGGAACUAGGCAAAAUGGUGCCGUAACUUCGGGAGAAGGCACGCUGACACGUAGGUGAAGUGAUUUACUCAUGGAGCUGAAGUCAGUCGAAGAUACCAGCUGGCUGCAACUGUUUAUUAAAAACACAGCACUGUGCAAACACGAAAGUGGACGUAUACGGUGUGACGCCUGCCCGGUGCCGGAAGGUUAAUUGAUGGGGUCAGCGCAAGCGAAGCUCCUGAUCGAAGCCCCGGUAAACGGCGGCCGUAACUAUAACGGUCCUAAGGUAGCGAAAUUCCUUGUCGGGUAAGUUCCGACCUGCACGAAUGGCGUAAUGAUGGCCAGGCUGUCUCCACCCGAGACUCAGUGAAAUUGAACUCGCUGUGAAGAUGCAGUGUACCCGCGGCAAGACGGAAAGACCCCGUGAACCUUUACUAUAGCUUGACACUGAACAUUGAGCCUUGAUGUGUAGGAUAGGUGGGAGGCUUUGAAGUGUGGACGCCAGUCUGCAUGGAGCCGACCUUGAAAUACCACCCUUUAAUGUUUGAUGUUCUAACGUGGACCCGUUACCCGGGUUGCGGACAGUGUCUGGUGGGUAGUUUGACUGGGGCGGUCUCCUCCUAAAGAGUAACGGAGGAGCACGAAGGUUGGCUAAUCCUGGUCGGACAUCAGGAGGUUAGUGCAAUGGCAUAAGCCAGCUUGACUGCGAGCGUGACGGCGCGAGCAGGUGCGAAAGCAGGUCAUAGUGAUCCGGUGGUUCUGAAUGGAAGGGCCAUCGCUCAACGGAUAAAAGGUACUCCGGGGAUAACAGGCUGAUACCGCCCAAGAGUUCAUAUCGACGGCGGUGUUUGGCACCUCGAUGUCGGCUCAUCACAUCCUGGGGCUGAAGUAGGUCCCAAGGGUAUGGCUGUUCGCCAUUUAAAGUGGUACGCGAGCUGGGUUUAGAACGUCGUGAGACAGUUCGGUCCCUAUCUGCCGUGGGCGCUGGAGAACUGAGGGGGGCUGCUCCUAGUACGAGAGGACCGGAGUGGACGCAUCACUGGUGUUCGGGUUGUCAUGCCAAUGGCACUGCCCGGUAGCUAAAUGCGGAAGAGAUAAGUGCUGAAAGCAUCUAAGCACGAAACUUGCCCCGAGAUGAGUUCUCCCUGAGACUUUAAGUCUCCUGAAGGAACGUUGAAGACGACGACGUUGAUAGGCCGGGUGUGUAAGCGCAGCGAUGCGUUGAGCUAACCGGUACUAAUGAACCGUGAGGCUUAACCUUACA
rnacentral:rRNA from 1 species